AUCCGACUGACGAGUCCCAAAUAGGACGAAACGCGCGUCCUAAAU
rnacentral:hammerhead_ribozyme from 1 species